rnacentral:lncRNA from 1 species
CAAUAAUAGCCCGGCCCAGAUAAUAUAGACCCAAUCUACCGGCCCAUCAAAUCGCAUGAGGCCCAUACAAGACAGCCAAUAAUAGCCCGGCCCAGAUAAUAUAGACCCAAUCUACCGGCCCAUCAAAUCGCAUGAGGCCCAUACAAGACAGCCAAUAAUAGCCCGGCCCAGAUAAUAUAGACCCAAUCUACCGGCCCAUCACAUCGCAUGAGUACAGGACACCCAAGAAUAGCCCGGCCCAGAUCAUAUAGACCCAAACAACCGGCCCAUGACAUCGCAUGAGGC